CGGUGAACACGGAGCUUGCUCUGUGGGAUCAGUGGCGAACGGGUGAGUAACACGUGAGCAACCUGCCCCUGACUCUGGGAUAAGCGCUGGAAACGGCGUCUAAUACUGGAUAUGUGACGUGACCGCAUGGUCUGCGUCUGGAAAGAAUUUCGGUUGGGGAUGGGCUCGCGGCCUAUCAGCUUGUUGGUGAGGUAAUGGCUCACCAAGGCGUCGACGGGUAGCCGGCCUGAGAGGGUGACCGGCCACACUGGGACUGAGACACGGCCCAGACUCCUACGGGAGGCAGCAGUGGGGAAUAUUGCACAAUGGGCGCAAGCCUGAUGCAGCAACGCCGCGUGAGGGACGACGGCCUUCGGGUUGUAAACCUCUUUUAGCAGGGAAGAAGCGAAAGUGACGGUACCUGCAGAAAAAGCGCCGGCUAACUACGUGCCAGCAGCCGCGGUAAUACGUAGGGCGCAAGCGUUAUCCGGAAUUAUUGGGCGUAAAGAGCUCGUAGGCGGUUUGUCGCGUCUGCUGUGAAAUCCGGAGGCUCAACCUCCGGCCUGCAGUGGGUACGGGCAGACUAGAGUGCGGUAGGGGAGAUUGGAAUUCCUGGUGUAGCGGUGGAAUGCGCAGAUAUCAGGAGGAACACCGAUGGCGAAGGCAGAUCUCUGGGCCGUAACUGACGCUGAGGAGCGAAAGGGUGGGGAGCAAACAGGCUUAGAUACCCUGGUAGUCCACCCCGUAAACGUUGGGAACUAGUUGUGGGGUCCAUUCCACGGAUUCCGUGACGCAGCUAACGCAUUAAGUUCCCCGCCUGGGGAGUACGGCCGCAAGGCUAAAACUCAAAGGAAUUGACGGGGACCCGCACAAGCGGCGGAGCAUGCGGAUUAAUUCGAUGCAACGCGAAGAACCUUACCAAGGCUUGACAUAUACGAGAACGGGCCAGAAAUGGUCAACUCUUUGGACACUCGUAAACAGGUGGUGCAUGGUUGUCGUCAGCUCGUGUCGUGAGAUGUUGGGUUAAGUCCCGCAACGAGCGCAACCCUCGUUCUAUGUUGCCAGCACGUAAUGGUGGGAACUCAUGGGAUACUGCCGGGGUCAACUCGGAGGAAGGUGGGGAUGACGUCAAAUCAUCAUGCCCCUUAUGUCUUGGGCUUCACGCAUGCUACAAUGGCCGGUACAAAGGGCUGCAAUACCGCGAGGUGGAGCGAAUCCCAAAAAGCCGGUCCCAGUUCGGAUUGAGGUCUGCAACUCGACCUCAUGAAGUCGGAGUCGCUAGUAAUCGCAGAUCAG
rnacentral:rRNA from 1 species